AGAAGAAAGGUUUUACAAGCAGUCUUCCAUGUCUGAAGAUAGUGAUAGCGGUGACGACUUCUUCAUUGGGAAAGUCAGACGGACACGAAAGAAGGAAAGUAGUUGUCAUUCUUCAGUUAAGGAACAAAAACCACUCGAAAAAGUGUUUCUUGAAGAUACAGGUGAAACUCAUGGGGAUACAAGAAAUGACAAAACCAAGCCAAGUGCAGAAACCAGAAAGUUAGAAUCAGUGUUUUUCCACUCUUUAUCUGAAUCUAAAAGCUCUAGAAGAAAUUUCAAAGAACAGGCUCCAAAAACAAGAUCCCUAGGUAAGAAAUAAGACUUGCAUUUGUGAUAUCAAAAAUCACCCGAAAAAUGAAAAGCAACCCAAAAGUACCCAGGAGGCCCAUUUACUUACUGAUGACAACUGUGCCAUUCCCAGGAAUAUCUUGGUCGGCUGGGUAAGAAAUCUGAUGUCCCUUGGUUUUUCACUCUUUGGGGAAAUCUGAGCAGCACCCUGUGAUCAUAAUCUCUGACAUCUGCCCUGUAUGCUGUACUGUGAUUUUGAAAAAAGAAAAAUUAUUA
rnacentral:sRNA from 1 species